rnacentral:rRNA from 1 species
GAAAGCAGAUCGCAUGAUCAGUCUUUUAAAAAGGCGGCGUAAGCUUGUCGCUAGUGGGAUGGCCCGCGGUGCAUUAGCUAGUUGGUAAGGUAAAGGCUUACCAAGGCGAUGAUGCAUAGCCCGAGUUGAGAGACUGAUCGGGCCACAUUGGGGACUGAGACACGGGGCCCAAACUCCUACGGGGGGAGGGGCAGCAGGUAGGGGGAAUCUUCCACAAUGGACGCAAGUCUGAUGGAGCAACGCCGCGUGAGUGAAGUAAGGUUUUCGGAUCGUAAAGCUCUGUUGUUGGUGAAGAAGGAUAGAGGUAGUAACUGGUCCUUUAUUUGACGGUAAUCAACCAGAAAGUCACGGCUAACUACGUGCCAGCAGCCGCGGUAAU